AGUGGCGGACGGGUGAGUAACGCGUGAGAAUCUGCCUUGGGGUCGGGGACAACCACUGGAAACGGUGGCUAAUACCGGAUAAGCCGAUUGGUGAAAGAUUUAUUGCCCUAAGAGGAGCUCGCGUCUGAUUAGCUAGUUGGUGAGGUAAGAGCUCACCAAGGCAGCGAUCAGUAGCUGGUCUGAGAGGACGAUCAGCCACACUGGGACUGAGACACGGCCCAGACUCCUACGGGAGGCAGCAGUGGGGAAUUUUCCGCAAUGGGCGAAAGCCUGACGGAGCAAGACCGCGUGAGGGAGGAAGGCUCUUGGGUUGUAAACCUCUUUUCUCAGGGAAGAAGCUCUGACGGUACCUGAGGAAUCAGCCUCGGCUAACUCCGUGCCAGCAGCCGCGGUAAUACGGAGGAGGCAAGCGUUAUCCGGAAUUAUUGGGCGUAAAGCGUCCGCAGGUGGUGAUUCAAGUCUGCUGUCAAAGCACGGGGCUUAACUCCGUAAAGGCAGUGGAAACUGAAUAGCUAGAGUGCCGUAGGGGUAGAGGGAAUUCCCGGUGUAGCGGUGAAAUGCGUAGAGAUCGGGAAGAACAUCGGUGGCGAAAGCGCUCUACUGGACGGCAACUGACACUCAGGGACGAAAGCUAGGGGAGCGAAUGGGAUUAGAUACCCC
rnacentral:rRNA from 1 species